UACGGAGGAUGCGAGCGUUAUCCGGAUUUAUUGGGUUUAAAGGGUGCGUAGGCGGCCUUUUAAGUCAGCGGUGAAAGUCUGUGGCUCAACCAUAGAAUUGCCGUCGGAACUGGCAGUCUUGAGUGGGCGAGAAGUAUGCGGAAUGCGUGGUGUAGCGGUGAAAUGCAUAGAUAUCACGAAGAACUCCGAUUGCGAAGGCAGCUCACUGGACUGCAACUGACACUGAGGCUCGAAAGUGUGGGUAUCAAACAGG
rnacentral:rRNA from 1 species